GACGAACGCUGGCGGCGUGCUUAACACAUGCAAGUCGAACGGUAAGGCCCUUCGGGGUACACGAGUGGCGAACGGGUGAGUAACACGUGGGUGAUCUGCCCUGCACUUCGGGAUAAGCCUGGGAAACUGGGGCUAAUACCGGAUAGGACUCCGGACUGCAUGGUCUGGGGUGGAAAGCUUUUGCGGUGUGGGAUGGGCCCGCGGCCUAUCAGCUUGUUGGUGGGGUGAUGGCCUACCAAGGCGACGACGGGUAGCCGGCCUGAGAGGGUGACCGGCCACACUGAGACUGAGAUACGGCCCAGACUCCUACGGGAGGCAGCAGUGGGAAAUAUUGCACAAUGGGCGCAAGCCUGAUGCAGCGACGCCGCGUGAGGGAUGACGGCCUUCGGGUUGUAAACCUCUUUCAGCACAGACGAAGCGCAAGUGACGGUAUGUGCAGAAGAAGGACCGGCCAACAACGUGCCAGCCGCCGCCGUAA
rnacentral:rRNA from 1 species